rnacentral:lncRNA from 1 species
CUCUACUCGACUUGUCAACACGUGUUUAUUGAGCCUUUAUGACAUACCUGGCCCAAAUAUAUAUCGAAAAUAGAAGUUUGGCAGUGAAAACUUUUGUUUCUUUCCUUUCAACUACCUCCAGAAGCUAUCCUAGCUUUUUAGAGCCAAUGAUUCAAGAGCAUGAGCUCAGCUCCUCAGUGUUCCAUGCAAAUUACAGUCCCAGAGAUGCCCUAUGUGCGCAUUUGGUCUAGGAGGAAUUGACAGUGGUCCUGAUUGUGUUUGUUGUUCAGUGGAGGAAAGAAGAGAGGGAGGUGCAAUGAGGAGAGACAAGAAGAGAAAGAACCAUAGAAUUCCAGACUUCCCUUCCUAGAGGGGUCCAAGAGAUGACGCCUAUGACCAUGAUGAAACAGACUCAUGAUCCCAAGGCUGGAGCACUAUUCCCAGCCCAGCGUUUGGAUGGAUGUGGGCUGAUCAAUGGUUUAUCUCACUAUAUUCUUUUCCAUAUCACCCUGGAAGUUACCCUGGAAUCUAGUACUGCAACUAUCUGGGGUAAGUUACUAUGUGUUUAAAGUAUUUUUAAGUAGCAAGCAGGAGAACUACUAUUUCUGACAUUGAAGAAAUCAUGUUUGAUGAUUGUAAAUGAGUUUCAGCAACUAAUCCUUGGGUAUCCCCAAACUAUGGCUCUCUCUUUCACUAAUUCAUUUAUUUAAUAUUUAUUUAUCAAGAUCUUCAUGUGUCCUUAGCAGUAAUUAAAAUUAAGUUAACAAGAAGAGAAUGGAUUCUAUAGAGAGGUGACUACAGGUAUUGUGUAAUAAAAGAGGCCCAUGAUUCGAGAACAACUUUUGAAAAUGACACUGUGAAAAUAAAGUUAAUUGGAACAAAACAUAAAGUGCAUAAAAUUAACCAUCCAAAGAAGUUACUCAGUGUAGAUGAUGCAAAUGAGAAUGAGCAUUUGAAAUGUCCAUUGUAGCUCUAACUACAAAUUGCAAUUAGGGAAACAUAAUAUGAGGUUAUAUUUUAAUGCUAUAAUUCUGUAUCAGAAGCAUAAAUGUCUGGAGAAAAAAAUGUUGGGAAGGAAAGUAUUUGCCAGUGUGCUCCAAUAUCGUCUAGGAGUAAAAAAAAAAAAAUAGUAGACCAAUAUCUGUUAUCUAGAUGUAAAUAUCCCCAGAGAGAUGGCCAAUAACAUUUGCAUAGUGCUUCAAUUUGCAAAGUGCUUCCAUGUACCUUCUCUCUUUCAGCCUUCACAAUUGCCCUCCAAAUUUGAUAUCGUUAUCAUUUCUAUUUUAUUGAGGCGAAAAUGGAGUGAAGGAGGCUAAGUGACUUUUCAAGGUCACUUUGCCAGUGAGGAGCAGAGCUAGGAGUGCUAUGACAUUAAGGUGAGCGUACUUUCUACUGCCCCCGCACCAGUUUAACAUACACCAGUAGAAAACUCACCAUGCUUAGAAGUUAAUGAGGGCCGAAGUAUUUACUGGGCAACAUCCAAUUUCCUUCAUCCAAUUCUAGGUUAAGUCACCUUUUGACCAAUAAUUCAGUCUCAUGGGAAAGGCGAAAUAACAAUUGCACUCAGGAUUGGCUUCAGGGUUCUGCAACCAGUGUAGUCACACCAGGUCUGGUGUUAGGAAGAGCUUUAUUUUUGUUCUAAUGCUUUGUUGUCACUGUAUUGGAAUUCUUUUUUUUUUUAGAAUUUUAAUAUUUAUUCUUUUAGUUUUCGGCAGACACAACAUCUUUGUUUGUAUGUGGUGCUGAGGAUCGAACCCUGGCCGCACGCAUGCCAGGCGAGCGCACUACCACUUGAGCCACAUCCCCAGCCCACUGUAUUGGAAUUCUUAAUAAUUUUUUUUUCAUGUGUGUCUUCAUACAUGUACUUAGGGUAAUGAUGUCCAUCUCAUUCCACCAUCUUUCCUACCUCCAAUCCCCCUCCCUUCCCCUUCCUUCCCUUUGCCCUAUCUAAAGUUCCUCCAUUCCUCCCAUGCUCCCUCACCCCCAUCCCCAUUAUAGAUCAGCAUCCACAUAUCAGAGAAAACAUUUGGCCUUUAGUUUUUUGAGGUUGGCUUACUUCACUUAGCACAAUAUUCUCCCACUCCAUUCAUUUACCUGCAAAUGCCAUGAUUUUAUUCUCUUUUAAUGCUGAGUAAUAUUCUUUUGUGUAUAUAUACCACAGUUUCUUUAUCCAUUCAUCUACUAUAGGGCAUCUAGAUCAGUUCUACAAUUUAGCUAUUGUGAAUUGUGCUGCUAUAAACAUUGAUGUGGCUGUGUUAUUGUAGUACGUUGUUUUUAAGUCCUUUGACUAUAAAAUGAGGAGAUAGCUGGGUCAGAUGGUGAUUUCAUCCCAAGUUUUCCAAGGAAUCUUCAUACUGCUUUCCAUAUUGGUUGUACCAAUUUGCAGUCUUACCAGCAAUGUGUGAGUGUACCUUUUCCCCCACAUCCUGUUGUUUAUAUUCUUAAUAGCUGCCAUUCUGACUGGUGUGAGGUGAAAUCUUAGAGUUUUGAUUUGCAUUUCUCUAAUUACCAAAGAUGUUGAACAUUAUAUAUCAUCUUCUGAGAAGUGUCUGUUCCUUGGCCUAUUUACUGAUUGAGUUGUUGAUUUUUUUGGUGUUAAGUUUUUUUAUUUCUUUAUACAGUACUCUAUCUGAUGUGUGUGUGGUAAAAAUUUGCUCCCAUUCUGUAGUCUGUCUCUUCACCUCACUGAUUGUUUCUUUGAUAAGAAGCUUUUCAGUUUGGAUCCAUCCCAUCUAUUGAUUCUUGAUUUUAUUUCUUGCACUAUAGUGGUCUUAUUAAGGAAGUCAGGACCUAAUCCGACAUGAUAAAGAUUUGGGCCUACUUUUUCUUCUAUUAGGCACAGGGUCUCUGGUUUAAUUCCUAGGUCCUUGAUCCAUUUUGAGUUGAGUUUUGUGCAUGGUGAGAGAUAGGGGCUUAAUUUCAUUUUGCUGCAUAUGGAUUUCCAGUUUUCCCAGCACCAUUUGUUGAAGAGGUUAUCUUUUCUCCAAUAUAUGUUUUUGGAACCUUUGUCUAGUAUGAGAUAACUAUUUUAUGUGGGUUUAUCUCUGUGUCCUCUAUUCUGUACCACCGGUCUACAAGUCUAUUGUGAUGCCAAUAUCAUGCCAUUUUUGUUACUAUUGCUCUGUAGUCUAGUUUAAGGUCUGGUGUAGUGAUGCCAACUGCUUCAGUCUUCUUGCUAAGGAUUGCUUUGUCUAUUCUGGGUCUCUUAUUUUUUCAGAUGAAUUUCAUGAUUGAUUUUUCUAUUUCUAUGAGGAAUUUCAUUGGUAUUUUGAUUUUGAUUUUAAAUCUGUAUAAUGCUUUUGAUAGUAUGGUCAUUUUGUCAAUAUUAAUUCUGCCUAUCCAAGAACAAGGGAGAUCUUUCCAUCUUGGAAUUCCUAAUUUUUUUUAACAAGGGAUCUGGUAUUUUUAUUGUGCAUCAGAUUCUACAAAUUAUAUAGCUAGUUCAUAUAGCACAAAUGAUGGUUACGAGUUCCACGUGAGUCUCUGGGUGAUAAACCAACCUCUUGGGAGUUUGAAAGGCAGGGAGGAUUUGGAAAAGAGGAAAGGAGAGGAAGUGGAGGACAGUCUUGCUUGCCAAUAAACUCUCUGAAAGAGUAGUAGAGCACACAAGCAUGCUCUCAGAAGUAAUGCCAUCUCGCAAACUUCAUCUCUUUAGUUCAUUCCAGAACAUGGGAGACAAAAGAGUUAAUUAAGCAGGUGUCUAUGCUUAUCCUUCCAUGUAUCCAAGGAAACACAAUUGAUCCUCAGACAACAAAUGGGAAAUGUGUCUUUUGACAUUCUUGACCCACCCUCCAUAAAGGCCUUAGUUUCUGAGACUCAACAGGUUUCUUUGUGUAGAUAUUUCACAUAUAUCAUAGAUAGAUCUGCAGAGGGAAAGUGUGAGGUCUUCAAGAGGAAGACCAUCAGAAUCCUGGACUGGGGCUCUCAGGAUUUCUCCUGAUGCACGCUUAUUUACUACUCUUUUGGAUCAGAAUCUUUUGCUGAUCAAAAAAUCUUAGCUAUCACCAUAACCUGUCAUUGAGUUUUGUGUAUCCUUCUGAUGAAUUACCAAAUAAGACCAAAUCUCACACUAAGUUAAAAAAUAGUCUGUAUGCUAUUUUUCUUUUUUGGGUGGUAAGAACCCAUGUGCUAGUGGAACCCAUGUGGAACCCACACUAGCUUCAUUUAAUGGUACUAAAGACCAAUAAUGGUAAUAGUUACAAUGAAAAAAUCCAUUUUCAACAUAGCCUUUUCCUUAAAACUCUCUUCUAAAAUCUGAAAGUUAUUAUUUUCUUUGGAAGAUUUUAGAAGGUCCAGUUGAAUUUGAAUAAUUUUAAAAGGCUUUGUUAAAAACAUAAAACCCUAAAGAGUCCAGAUGCCAGUUAGCUAUUUGAAGAGUAUCUUUCAUUUUGGGGACAUGUGCACUUGCUAAAAUAGACUUGGAGCAGCUUACAGAGUACAUGCCUUUGGGUCCUCUUGGAUUGAUUACUGUCAUUCUUCCUUCUCCAACAUUCCAGAGAUACUGACUCAUAGAUUACAAGUAUUUCAAAAUUUUACCACGUAUGUCCCUGCCAAUUCUAGCUCAAUUUUUAUAUCUUUACAAAAACUUGACCUCUAAUGAGGUCUUGAGAUCAUUUUAUAAUACACUUUGGUAAAAAUAACCAGAGUUAGAUUUCCUUUGUGUGAUAUUUGUCUGUAUACUCAAAUCUUAUAUUAUUGAUUAAGACAAUUUUAAAAUGUUAAAUGCAUACUUAUAAAAUGUCAGAAAAACUCUGGUUUUCAAGUACUCAGAAUUAAUUGCUCUCACUAAAUUUUUCUGGGCCAUCAAGAAUGCUCUUGGUUUAUAGUAUGUGUAUGGCUAUUUUAUCAUUUAAAAGCUUUAAUUAAAAUAUUUUAUUGAUUACUGAAAUAUAAUUAUAUUCAUAUAUAUAUCCUCUGCUUUGCAGAAUAUCUAUCUUAUAAUCAGUUGACUGUAAACACAAGUUUCUGUAAACUAAAUAAAUAUUUUUUACUUUCAGCAUCACAACUUAGGUUUGACUAGAAUGUUCUUUACCUCACUUGCUCUUCAAACCUUCCAAGAACUCAGGCAUUGUGAGAAGUGAUUCACUAGAGAGGCUGAGGUUCAUCUUGUGACCCUAAAGCUCAAAAAUCUUCAAAAGCCUGAGGAAAGAAGUGGGGAAAACUUCAAAAGUUUUCCAUUCUUUACUAAAUCAAGUUUAAAGUUCUCUACCAUGUUUUUUAGAAUUCUCUGGGGUCUGGCCCCAUCUGCCUAUCUGCUCCCAUUUCUCAUCCCUCCUCAGCAUAGGAAGUAAGCUCAUUGUGUUCAUUGCAAAGCCAGUAAAUGGUGAGAGCUCAAGAUGUGCAUACUUGAUGAUAAAUUUUUAAAGAUUUUUUUAAAAACCAAAACAUUACUGUAGACUAUCAAUAACAUGAAGCUUAAAGAUAUUGUACAAAAAUUAUAACAUAAUCAGGAAAAGUUGAACUUUGACUAAAUAUUCGAUCUUAAAGAAUUAUUAAUUUUUAAAUGAUGGUAUUGUUUGUUUAAAAAUAAUUCUGUAUGUAGAUAUCUGUUUGUAUAUGUAUAUGUAUAAAGUGAAGUCUGGAAUUUGCUUCAAGAUAAUUGUUGGAUGACAAAUUAUGUCAUAGAUAAUUUUUGAAAUUGAGGGAAAUAUGGGAGUUAAUUAUACCUUAAAAAACUAAAAUGCCUAAUAUUUAUUAAUAAAUUAGUACAUGUGAAGCAUUUCUCUUGAUAUGGUCCUUUACCACUCCCCACAAACUCCAGCCACACAAAGGGAGUCCAUAGCACCUUUGCAUUAGAAUCUGGCAAAUGAGGAUUAGAGGGUAAAUUUAUAGAUGGGAGUACAGCUGCAAAUAAAUUAGAUAAUCUGAGUUCUUAAUAGGUGUAGCUAUUUUUAAUUAAAGUGAUUGAAUGAUGAAGGAAACCCAGUAAGACAAAGGCCUUGAGGGCAGACUGGAACUAUUGACUAUGUUUGUAUUAAAAAAAAAAAAAAAAAACAAGACAUUCAUUAAAGGAAAUUUAGGCAGAUUCUCUAUGGCAAAGGGGCUGCUAGCACUCAUUUUUGACUUUCCAAAACUCAGCAGUGUGUUCCAGAACCUCUCAAUUCCUAAAAGAUAAAGUUCUUGAGUGGCUCACUUCUCAAGCCACUGAAAUAGAAAGUCCUGAUGGCUUGAGGAUUUCAUUUCUCCAGCUCAAAUCAUAUGAACAUCAAGAGGAGCAGAAGUAAUUAAGCAUUCUACACAGUGUCCAGGUGGAAACAGUACAAUCACAAGAGUGUGGUCAAGUUUCAGCCGUGGCUAUGAACUAUAUAACAAGACAUUAAAAAGAGUCUGAUUGCAUCACAGCACUCAACAUGGUCUUAAAUUUUCUUAAUCUUAAAGGAAAAAAAACUAAUAAGAUUAUUAUUUUGAAUAAUAAUCAAACCAUUAUAUUUUAUGAUAAUAUUACAAAGAUAAUAUUUUAUAAUAUUAUAAGAAUAUAAUAUUUACAAUGUCCUAAAGGACAUUUGUGGAGAGCAAAAAUAAUAAAAUAAUAAUUAUAUAUAUGUAUACACACUAUACAUAUAUUUGAAAGUAGCUAUGGAUUUUGAGAAAUGAAGACUACUUAUAGAAUUCAUGGGAUGCCACUACAAUUUUAAGAAACAGAACCACCCUGCCACUUGAUUUUUGCCAGUUGAUUUCCAGAAUGGAGCAUCCCUAUGUGCUACAGUAGGUCAGGUAGAUGGCUAUGAACAGAGUCCAGGAGGUCUGGCUGGCCUCUUACUCUAGACUCCAACAAUCUCUAAUAGCUGCUCCAGUUUCUCCUCAGCCCAGGGAAUCUCUUCAAUCAACCUCAGACGCUCAGAAUUCAGAAUGUGGAAUGUCAGUAAAGAGGCUUCAGGUCACAGGGACCAAAGCUUAUACUGGGUCCUUCUUCUAUUCAGUAAUAAAGGAGCUGGUCCUGCUGAGCUGCCCCGGAGGGAAUCAGAGUGGAAAAGGGGCUCUGACUCAUCCGGGAAGAACUUGAUCUUGUAUUAACACCAUCAGGAGAGUGGAAUUCUCAAAUUUCAUAUUAGAACUAGGGAUGGGCACAGGCUAAGUUGGGGAGGGGGGUUGUCAGUUUCCAGCUGGGUAGUGUCUUUCAUUAGUCUAUGAAUCUUCUCCAUAACCUCAUUGAGCAAGUGCUGGAGCUCGGCGCUAAUUGGGUGACAUUGGCCUCAGGAUUGCUGGAUGGUCCUAUGCAGCAGAAGUGCCUAGGCCUGUUCAAGUUCCGCUGUGUAUCCUUUGAGAAAGCGGCAGGAGGAACAGAGUUUAAAGCCAGCCUCAGCAAAGGCGAGGUGCUAAGCAACUCAGGGAGACCCUGUCUCUAAAUAAAAUACAAAAUAGGGCUGGGGAUGUGGCUCAGGAGUUGAGUGCCCCUGAGUUCAAUCCCUGUACAAGAAAGGCGGGGGGGGGGGGGGGGGGGGGGGGGGGGGAGAGAGAGAGAGAGAGAAGCGAAGAAAGACUCAAAGAAAGAAAGAAAAAGAAAGAAGCCAUUUCCCUCUCGUGGAAUUGCACUGAAACUGACAGAUAUCCCUCCGCAGUCUUUCCUCUUGCGUUUCAGCAAGAUUCAGGAUGUCAAUACCCCGGCAGUUGUAUUGGACCCGCUUCUCCCAGUUUGGGGUUGGAGUCAUGGAUUUUUUUUCAGUCCUGCGUUUUCCUCAGUGGUGCUGGGAUCCUGCCAGGGCCCCCUUGUCGAGUCCCGGAGCUUUUCUAGAUACUGCACAGUAUCACCACAUGCACCAGCAGCAGGAAAAGCUCAAUUAUCUACGGGGAAUGUCCUUUGAUGUCCAAAUGCUUGUGUAGCUCAGGCCUGAGAUGGCUCCUUUUGGGCCUUUGAUGGUCAUGCUGGACUUUUGGCCCCUGGAUGGCCUCCCUGGAUGUGCCUGUGGUAGGACCCUUCUGGUAGUGGACUCCCUGGAGGCUCCGAGGGUCUGGUUCACAGCUCCUCCCUUCUUGCAGAGCUUCUCUGUAACUGGAUGCCACUUGGUGCUUUUGGUCUAAGAGGCAGAAGAGUUGGAUUGUGUUGAGUUCAUGUCCUUAGGAACAUGAAUGGGAGAAUGGAUUUCAUGUGCUCGGGGCGUGAGAAGAUGACUGUGCCAGGGGAAAGUGGGGUCCUGCUGAAGAAGGACAGAAAUGUGCCACAGAGGUUGUUUCCUUGGUUUCUUGGUCACCACCACGUUCUGACUCAGUCUGUGUAUGCUUUCAUUUCAUCCUCCUUCUCUAAAAGCACAUCGGAAAAGGUACCCUGAGCACACCCCUCAUUCUCCUUCUUGGUCCCAUCUGCACACCCCAACCCACAGGACACACCAUUUAGGGAGUUAAGGUACUGUUAAACUGGAACAUACCAGGUGGACAAGUGCAUUCAGGGUCAAAGUCAGCGUGUACAAGGUGAUUUCUCACCUUGUGAGAUUGGGUAUAGGCAUGACUAGCUACAGUCAUGGUGUUUCUCUGACAUUCUCAUGCCUGGUAAAAGUUCCUGAAAGGAAAUAGAUACAAAAGCACAGGCUUGUGUUGGUACAGAGACUUAGGUUCCUGCCAGACACUUGUCACAUGUUGAUUUGGCCAGUGGCAUUGUCAACAUGGUGGUAUGUGCCAAUGAGACCUGUUCUGUUCUGGCUGAAUCAUGGUGGUGUUGCGUUACUAAGGAAUCCAAGCAGGAUAAGGGAGCCUCCUGGCUAGUUGGCCAGAGAUGUGCUAUUGGGUCCCUGGGGGAGGGAAGUGCAUUGUCUUGUGGUGGUCCCUAUGGCACCCACAGUGAUUGGAGGACCAGGGAGGAGGGCUGGUGGCCACAGAGCACAGAAACAACUUCCCAAAGUGAGGCCUCCAGCCACUACCAGCUACCCUCCCUCUGCUGCCCAGACUGGCCUGGCAAGGGACCGAGUCCUAAACAUCUCCAAGUUUUCUACUUUGAUUUAUAUUUGGGGGUUUUAAUUUUUAAAGUUUCAAAAUUUUAGCAAAAAUGAAAUAUUAAGAACAAAAACUUGUAAGAAGAUGCUGAAGUUAUUAUAAAGUUGCUGUUACUUGGACUUAAGACUUCUUGACUCUAGGGGUUUUCACAACUUAUUUGAUUCUAGGAGCUCCUGCUCCUUUUUUUCUCGGUAAUUCUUGUUCCUACCAUUAUAUAUAUUUUUUAAUUUUAAUAUUUUUUCUUUAGUUGUAGAUGGACACAGUACAUUUACUUUAUUUAUUUUUAUGUGGUGCUGAUAAUUGAACCCAGUGCCUCACAUGUGCCAGUUGAGUGCUCUACCACUGAGCCACAACCCCAGCCCAUGGUACCCAUAUCUUUUGUAGUCCUUUUUCCUAUUUCUCUCCCACCUUAUGUGAUAGAAUGGAGCUGACCUGAUAAAUAAGUGAAAUAAUUGGAUGCUUAAGAGAGGUCAGAAAGUCCAUUUUACCAAGAAACAUCUUUCCUUUGCUCUCUCUUCCACAUGCAAAAUUUCCUGAACAAAUACAAUUAAUACCAGUUAAUGUGCUGCCCUCAAUAAAAAUUACACACACAGUCACACAUGGUGAAAUUUGCUUUCCCACUUUGGGAAGCAAAUAUAGCCUUUUUCAUUUGGUAGCUGGUUGCUGGAAUACGUACCUUCAUCCUCUAUUUCCAGAUAGACUAACAACAUCCCCUUAAGGAUUCCUUCCACCUCCAAGUAUCCGAAUCCUCCAAGUGAUUAAGUACUAAGCCCUUUACACUGCUGCUUCUGAGUCAUCCCCUCCUCAUUGCUUCUUGAAUCCUCUCAGUCGCUCAAGGCUAGCCUAUCAGAGUUUGGCAGAAAAUGGUUUUCUAUCACUUCGGGCAUGACCCCCCAUUGGUCCAGAUUUUUGCCUAAGCUUCAUAUGUACCCCACAUGGAUGCUAACAGCUCUUCUUAAUGAAGACUCUUGUACUCAACCUUUGUUCUCCAAAGCCCAUUCAGUGUGCUGAGGUGAGAAGACCUAAAUUUGCUGCAGAGAGCAACACUAAGCUAACACUGCUAAGUCAGAUGGUUUUCACACAAUCCCUGAAUGCUGUGCUUUCCCCACAAUCCCUGAAUGCUGUGCUUUCCCCAAACAAAGUUCUACCUGCCACUGGAAAUGGAAAGGGGUUUGGGAGGGAGGGGAAGCUCUGUGAAAUCAAAAUAGAUCCACUUAAACUCUGAAUUCAGGAUCAAGAUGCCCUAUCUAUUACUGGUGCAAAACAGAGAGCAACUCAAUUGAUAGUCACAGGACAAAGAUCUGUGCCAGUGAUGAUGUUUUCUCUAUAUAUACAGAGGUUUUCUGACACCUUCAUUCAGAAAAAUAAAAAUAAAACUCAGUAUAUUCAUAAUAAGAAGGUUGUCCACAUUAUCCUACUGUGGUUGUAGGUUUAUAGAGGACUUUUAUUUCACUUACCUUUAUUUCUAACUUUUUCUUGAAUAGCAUGUAUUCAUUACAAAAUAAAAGCAGUAUAAAAUAAAAUUGAAACAAAUAAAUGCACACAAAAGUCACUAGUUCUGAUGCCCUGAGCAGGCCCAGUGAGGUACCAAGGUGGGGGGUUCCAAGUGAAAAUAUUUAUAAAAAAUGAUAGGAAGACAAAAAGGCAAAUGUCAUGUAUGUGAUACCAUGUCUUUCCUAAGCCUUUCUCCUGUUUUUCAAUAAUUUUAAAGGAAAAGUGUUACUGCUAAAGAUUACAAUGGAAAUAAUGGAAUUUUGUGGAGUAUUCAAAUCAGUUAAAUUUGGCAAGUAUUUCAUUUCUUUUUCAAUGUACCAGUCACAAUGGAAGGUGUAAAACAAAUGAGUAAGACACAGUUCCUGCCCUCAGAAAACAGAUAGCUUACUAGAUGAUGUGGGAAUAUUAAGUGGCAUAGAUCUUAGCCCCUGUGUUAAGGGCUUGGUGCCCAGCCUGUGGUAUUAUGGGGAGGUAGUGAGACCUUUAGGAAUUGGGCCUAGAGUAAGAUGGGUAGGUCAUUAGGAUUGUGCUCCUAGAAGAGAUAUUAGGACCCUCUGCCCUUCCCUUGUCUUUUGUUUCCCAGUUGCCGUGGGUCAAACAGUAGGUACUCAGCAGUAGGGCCAAACAACCAUAGACUGAAACCUCAAACUGUGAACCAAAAUAAAUCUUUCCUCCUUUUAAGUUGGUUAAUCCAGUUAUUUUAUCUUAGCUAUGAAAAGUGACUAAUAUGGGACUGUACACAAAGAACAAUAAUAUGAGGUAUAUUGGGACAAACAGUUUGUGAGGAGAUCACAACUGAAUAUGUAUGCAGGAUUGGCUGGAGGUGAGGAGCAUUAGGAAAGAUGUAGGAAUCUUUUAAUUGGAUAUUCAGGAAUUUCAGAGGUGGGUAUUGUUGGGUCAACUACAGACAAAUGACUCCACUGCCAUUUGUAAAUCAGAUUGGUAAGUUUGAAACUGAAGACCGGAAAAAAAAAAAAACAGCCUAUGUUCACACAAUAUUGGGACUAUUUUAGAUGAUGGCGUCCAGGGGGUUGGGAGUAUAGUUCUGUGAUACAGUGGGCGCUUAGCAUAGGCAAGGCCUAGCUAGGUUCAGUUCCCAGCUCCACCACCAAAACAAAGAAAUAAACUCUAAUUCCCUUUGAAAUAUAUAAUGUAAUUUUGAAAUAAAACUUUGUGGAAUGAUGAUCCCAAUAGAAUGUCCCUUUCUUACCUUAACCAUGUCCUUGAUGAUCUAUUUUUCUCAUUACAGUAAUGAGCCAUAUUGAAAACCUUGAAAUCUUCUACACAUCCAUAACUGUAGUUUUCUUAGGUAGGUCUUAGAAGGAAGAUAAGAGAAUUCCAGAAAUAUAGUGUACUCUUGAGCUGUCUGAAUAUAAAUGUUAUAAGUGUAUAGAAAGCAGAAUUGCUUAUUAAUGGUGAAGAGAAUACACAUCCAACUAAUAAUGAUGUUGAAAUUCAUAUUCCAGAGAGAAACCUGGAUUACUCUUAACCAAAACAAAAAAAAGAAAAAUUGACAAUCUUCCUCAGGCAGCUUUAUACGUAGAAUCUCUUUUUAGUCAAAUUUUCAGGUUUUAUUUUUUUUAACAUAGACGCUCAUGUCUUUUUUUUUUUAAUGAAUUCUUUUCUGUUUAAACCUAGGUUUUUUUUUUUUAGCUUUUAAAAUUGAUCUCUCAGACUAGGAGGGAGAGUGGAGGCCCAGGAUUUGUUAUUAAGUGGAUCAGGAAACUGGUCCUGCUUUGUUCUUUACUGAAUAGCUAAGGUUUGUGAUUCAACCAGACAACAAUAAAAUGAUAAAAAGAAAAAAAAAACACAAUACUCCAACAAAUUAAACAUAAACACUAACUGACCCUGCUCCACAGUGCUACUUAUAUUGUUCCUAGUUAAUAUCUACCAAGAGCUAUAAUGUUGAAAAUGCUGUCUUAGGGACAAAAAGCAAUUUAGCUUGAGUUAUUAGGCCUAAAGACAUUUCAGAACACUCUGAGCAAAGGUUGCCAGAAACAAAGAGGUGACUUUUACUCCCACUGCAGAGGUACUAUCUCCUCAACUGAGGCAUUUGGUGCCAAGGCCCCUGAAGACAGAUGUGCAGAGACCACCAUACUCAGCAUUAAGGAAAAAGCAAGUCCUUUUAGCACAAUGAAUUUGGGUGGUGGAAAAUACAGUUCAUUGACUUUGGGGCAGGGAACAAUAGUGAGUGCACCUGAGUGGUAACACGCUCCUUGGAGUGUCUGCCAAAGAAAAGUGCCCCCUGUCCACCUCCUAACAAGGGGAGAGAGUACCUGUCUGUCCAUUAAUCUUCAAGGCCUGUGGGGGCAAUGUUUGACCCUGAUGGUGGCCAUGCCUAGGAAAGCACAGACAGAAGGGAACAGUGCACAGCUUGAGCUGUUUGGAGUGAUACAAAAGUCUCAGAUGAUGAGAAGGGACUUUGAUGGCAAAGGCGGAAGCUGAUUGUCUUUUAGUGCAUUGUUUCUCACUAGAAAUCCCCAGACAUCACAGACAGGCAAAUUUCAAAGAGAAAACUUUUGUAAAAACAAAAAGAUGCAUUUUCCCUACAUCCCGCCCUUUGAAGCUUAACUAAGAGGGAUGUGGUUCCUGAUCAACUUAGGAUCAAAAGCUGUCUUGAAGUCACAUACUAGGAGCCAGUCUAAACUGACUUUGAAAGAAAACCUGGUGCUUGGGUGUUUAACAUGAAUGAGAAUACUGAAAAUAAAGCAAAACACUUUUUUCAAUGGUCUUUUGGGUCAUUAUUUUAACUUUUUUUUUUUUUUCAAGAAAGAUGGAUCUACACAAUAUAAUAGCUUCUUCCUUGUUUGAUUUAAAAUAAUGACGUGAGCACAAGGCCUCUGCCUCUAGACUUGUUGACAUGAAGGUGGUAUAUAAAUUCUUAAGCACCUACUAGGGGCCAAAGCUAGCUGUCCCCAGCACUGUGGAGAGGAGAUUAAAUGAUUAAUCACAUACUUAGAGUGUAGAAAAAGUGCUGGGGCACACAAAGGAAGAACAGAUUAAUUUGGGAUGGAAAAAUUUGGCAAGAUUCUACAGAUUUGAGAUGGACAUUGAAAGGUGAAUAGGAUUUCAGCAGGCAGAGGAAACAGGCACAGAAAUUCCAUUAGGCUCUGGGCAGAAGCUUUGCCUUGUAAUUUACAGGGAUUCUUGGAGGAAAGAAAAGGGUAGUCACCCCAGGGUAAUGGGGAGUGGAGACUCAGUACUUAAACACCCUUCCUGAUAUGACAAGCCUUUGGGAGGAAAUAAGGAGGAAUUCCAACUUUGUUAGGGACCUCUGUGCUCGGAGCAAGCCUGGGAUUAAGGCCUGGUGGAGAUGAGUGAGGGAAGAAAGGAAGUACACUCUGCAGAGCCCCAAGAGGAUCUGAAUCCUGCAUCCGUCCCUUCCAGAGGCCCUGCCUCUUUUCUCGAGUUCCAUAAGACACACUAAUCUUCUUGACUAAUGUUUGUUUGGUUUUUGUUUUUGUUUUUUGUAAAACUUGACUGAGUUGGGGAUCUGUCACUCCAGUCAAAAGAAUCCUGACCAAGUACCAUUAUUUUCUCUCAUUGAUUAAAUCUAAAUAAUCAUGAUGCCUUUUAAACAUUUUUUUAGUUGGAUAGACCUUUAUUUUAUUUAUUUAUUUUUAUGUGGUGCUGAGGAUCAAACCCAGUGCCUCACACAUGCUAGGCAAGCACUCUUCCAGUGAGCCACAACCCCAGCCCUCAUGAUACCUUUUUAUUGCUUUUCAUCCCUCUGAUCACAUUUUGAGUAUAUUAAGCUGGGUAGAACUAUGAUGAUCACUCAUUCCCCUGGGCAAUGGGAAUGCCUAUGACAAGUAGUCCAGCGUGGGAAGGGUAAGCAGUAGGCAGGAAGCUCAUUAGCUUUGGCCUUCACAUGGAGGCAAGGAUGCUUUCUUGAAAAAAAUGUGCUUAGGUAGGAGUCCAUAAUUUGGGACCUGUCCAGGGACUCUAGCAAAAAAUAUUUAGUUGAAUUAAGAAAAGUCCUAAAACUGCUUCCAGUAGCUUCUACAACACACACACACUUGUUCCUUCCCACUCAGAGUCUUCAACAAAAGGCUGUGUCUCAAGCACACAUGAGACAAAGGUCUAUUCACCAAUAUCCUGGGAAAGGCAGCAAUCUAGGCAUUGGCAUAAGUAAAGAAAAUAAUUGUUCAUGUGAAUUUCUAACAUUUCAAGUCUCUGUUGCCAUGCAGACAACCCCAUUGGCAUCUCUUAGUUCACCAACGGGAAGAAUUUAAAGAAAAAUGUGUUGUUAUUGAAGGAAAGAAGGGAAUGAAGGAAAUAAAGAGGGGAGAGGUGGCUCAACAGUGAAACAGGUUUACUGGGGACAAACCAGCAGAGGGGAGCUCAGUGGAGACUGAGAUCGGCUUUCCACUUACAACCUGGGGUAGAUGUAGAGGAGUGAGGGAGGGGGGAUUUUGUGGUUAGCGUGUUGCUAGGGGGUUGUCAGGGAAGGGUUCUUGUGGUGUCACCUUCAUAGGAACCAGGUGUUUUCAGGAUUUCAGUUCCAGGAAACAAUUUCCUUUCUUAUGAUCAUGGAGUGUUUGGGGUUUCUUUACAUGAUGAUGGGGUAUUGAUGGGGUUUAGAGUAAACUAAGAGUUAUGUGCCUCUUAUUUUAGAAUGGAGGAAAUCUUUCAAAAUGGCAUUUCCUAUGUCAAGUUCUACCUAACAGUUAGGCUUUUAUCUCUUAGCUACUGUGUGUUUCAACAUGUCAUUUUCAAUCUGAGUCCACUAAUUUACAGCAGUGAAUUUUAAAAUAUUCUCAAAUGAUCACAAUGCUUUUCUCUUAUUCAAUCUGUCAGCUUUCUUUAUUUAUUAAUCCCACACUCUUUUGUUUCUUAUUCCUCGGUUCUUAUAUUUCUCAAAAUCUUGGCUAUUUGCUUCUAUGUUCUGCCUUCUCCUCUUCCCUCAACAUACUUUUGUAUGGAACUCACAAUGCAAAGAUACAACUCUAAAAGAUGCUGUAUAGAACCAGCAUAGGAUUGGCCCUUUCUUAUCAUCAAGAGUUCUUUUCACUGUUCACCAUGGCAGGAAACUCUAUUUUGUCCUUGAGAAAAAAAAAAUCAAAUCAUUCUUACUCAACACAUGUGUUUUUCAAAACACACAUCCUGGGGGGGGGGGUAAAAUAAAAAGUAGCAUUAUACCUCUAAUUGCCCUAAAAAUAGCAUUAAAGUUCUAAUUGGUAAGGAACUAAACAGACACUUCACAGAAGAAGAAAUGCAGUCCAUCAACAAAUAUAUUAAAAAUGUUCAGCAUCUUUAGCAGUUAGAAAAAUGAAAAUCAAAACUACUCUAAGAUUUCAUCUCAUCCCAGUCAGAAUGGCAAUUAUCAAGAAUACAAAGAACAAUAAAUGUUGGCAAGGAUGUGGGUAAAAAGGUAUAUUCAUACAUUGCUGAUGGGAAUGCAAAUUGGUGCAACAUUUAUGGAAAGUGGUAUGGAGAUUCCUUAGAAAACUUGGAAUGGAACCACCAUCUGACAUAGCUAUCCUACUCCUCGGUUUAUACCCAAAGGACUUAAAAUCAGCAUAUUAUAGUGAUGUGGCCAUAUCAAUGUUUAUAGAGCUCAACUCACCAUAGCUAAACUAUGGUACCAAACUAGAUGCCCUUCAACAGAUGAAUGGAUAAAGAAACUGUGAUAUAUAUACACAAUGGAAUAGUACUCAACUUUAAAGAAGAAUAAAAUUAUGGCAUUUGCCAGUAAAUGAAUGGAACUGGAGAAUGUCGUGCUAAGUGAAAUAAGCCAAUCUCAAAAAACCAAAAGCCAAAUGUUUUCUGUGAUAUAUGGAAGCUAACUUACAAUAAGGGUGGGGGCAUGAGGAGUUAGGGAAUAGAGUUACUAAAUUAGGUAGAGAGGAGUGAAGAGAGGGGAGGAAGGACAGUAGAAUAAAUCAGACAUUAUUACCCUAUGUGCAUAUAUAACUAUAUGACCAGUGGGAUUCUACAUCAUGUACAACCAGAAGAAUGAGAAAUUAUACUCCAUCUAUAGAUGAUGUAUCAAAGUACAUACUACUGUCAUGUAUAAUUAACUAGAAUAAAUAAAAAAUAAUUUUAAAAAAGAGUUUUAAAAAGUUCUAAUUGCUAUUAAAUUUAAUUAGAAAUUCUUCAUUGAAGUACAGAUUUUUCAUAAUUAAUCUAAUAGCUCUUUACUUGGUAUCUAUGUAUAAAUUGUUGUCCAUCAUGAUUGCAAAUAUUCACAUGGUAAAAAUGCAAAGUGUUAAAAAAAUGCAAUCAUUCGUAAAAUUAGCACAGAAACUUGGAGAUAAUCGAAAUUGAUCUCGUACAUGUAAUAUCAAAAGCUAAUAUAGCAUUGACACAUUUCUCAUAAAGAUUUAGUGCAGCCUUGUGGGCAGUGGCGCAAGUCUGUAAUCCCAGCAGCUUAGAAGGCUGAGGCAGGAGGAGGAGAGUUCAAAACCAACUUCAGCAAAAAUGAGGCACUAAGCAACUCAGUGAGACCCUGUCUCUAAAUAAAAUACAAAAUAGGGCUGGAGAUGUGGCUCAGUGGUUGAGUGCCCCCAAGUUCAAUCCCCCGUACCAAAAAAAAGAUUUAGUGCAGAACAGGGCUGGCUUCUUCAUAUCAUUCUGAAGCACCAGGCAUCUGUUCAGAAUCCAGCUCUGCAUUCUGGAUCCCUGUCAGUUAUUUGUCACUGAUAUGGGUGUAAGUCUCCUCACCAUGUAUCCAGGAUGCUUGAUGUGUCCACCAAAUUCAAGAGAGCACUAGCAGAAAUCAAAGCUUGGAAAAAAGCUAAAGACUUGAAUAUAAUUUUCAAUCCAUGAAAACUUGCUAUUUAUGAAACACUUCAGGUUCUUACAUUAUUAUUUCUCAAUAGAAUACAAUGAAGAACUUUUAUCUUGUUUGAGUUUAUUCAAUCCCCCAUUUUUUUGUUUUAAAGUUAAGAGAAUAUUUAUUUCUAUGAUAUAUAGGGCCAUCAAGGACAUGCAUUGCAUUCAAGAAAAACAAUUAAAAAGUAAAAAUUAUGAGCUGAGGAUAUCAUGGAAUAAACAUUAUCUAAAUACUUUCUUUUUUUUUUUUUUACCAACACAUAGGCUACAAACAGUGACUCUAAGCCCAAGUGAGAAAGGCAACUCUUCAGACAGCUUUACCAGGAAGUUUGUCUGUAAAUUGGAAAAAUAUUUUACUGACAUUCAGCACAAAGGUUGAUUGUAUUUUCUGGGCAUGUAGAUGGUCCGGAUAGAGCCAUAUACAACUGCUUUUCCUCAAUCCUCAUUUUUAGCAAGAUUCCGCCCCCCCCCCCCCCAGGGUUGGGGAUUGAAGCCAGGGCCUCACACAUGCAAGGCAAGUGCUAUACCACUGAGCUACACUCUCAGCCUGUGUAUGUUGUCUUGACCAUAGUUCUGACUAUAACUCUCAGAAGGAUCAGAAUCGUGAUCUUGACCCGCUGAGCUAGAGUUGUGCUGUCCAAUAAGGUAGCCAGUAAGUAGAUGUGGUUAUUAACACUUUGAUUAGAUACACUUAAAACAUCAGCUUCCUAUAGCCUUAUUUCAAAUGUUUCAUAGUCAUAUAUGCUUAGUGCUAAGUGGCUACUAUAUGGGUCAUACACAGAGAUUUUCAUUUUCACUGAAAGUUCUGUGGACUGUACUGGCCACAUCCUUGGUAUUCAAAGUUCGUGAAUCAGCAGCAUUAGCAUCACCUGGGAGCUUGUAAUGAAUGUUGAGCCUCAGCUUCCCCAAGACCUACUGAAUCACAGUCUGUUUUUUUAUGAACAUCCUCAGGUGAUUCCUGUGCCAUUCACAUUUAAGAAGCACUGACCUAAAUAAUCAAGGAAAUAUACCCCGAGGGGUAAAGAAGGAAAGAACUAUAUUCUGUACAUCCAGGUUGGACUCAACAGUCACUUCCUGCAGGAACAUCUUUUUACUAUGGCCUCUUAAAACAAGAAAAACAUCAGGUUACCCAUCUCUAGCUGUAACUUAACAACCAGCGCCUGUACCUGAGGUUGACCGGUGCUUCCUCCUCUAAAUUCCCUCAUAAAAAUAGCUAAACAUAAUAAGCCCUUUCUCUGAGCUACUCUUUGUUCUAGGGGCUUCAUGUGUUUUGAUUCAUUAAGUCUCAUGACCCUAUAAUUGCCUUCUAUUAACACUAUUUUACAAUUGAGGAUUCUGAGAUUCAGAGAAUGGAAGUAAGCUCAGGUCACAAUGGCCAAGCUAAAGGUCCACCUCAGCCGCACCUGGGCUUUGGAGAGGCCAGCAAAGGGAUUUCUCCCCAACGCUGGCGGUUCCUGGAAAACUGCAACCUUGGCAGUAUAUUUGUUGGCGGAGUGUCUCUCCAGGUUCUUUGAGCUCCAAAGCAAAUGCACAUUCUACAGUGUUGACAGGAUUCCCUGAGUGUCCUGUACUGCCUGAGGUUCCACUUAGGUCCCUAAGAGGCUCCACGGUUUGGACUGACUGGCCCACUUUGAGGGGAUGACCUGGAAGAGCACCUCAUUUCCUUCCUAUAUUGUUUCCUUGAACUCAUCCUAUUGCUCAACUCUCUUUCCCCAAAUCCCCAGGAAAAACCCAAGAAAGAGAAAGAGCUGCCAGUUAAAUUCAUGCCAAGAUCCUAAUGCAACCUGUCUACCAGGGGAAUACAGGCCCCGCCUAGAACAGCAACAAAAGAAGCGUCUGUUUCCUGCCCAACCUAAGUGGCUCCGGUGAGUCACCACUUUCCCUGCCCCAACUGAGGCGUGGCUCCUCCAAUUCCUAGCAAAAUGCUUCCGCUCCAAAAUUCUCAGGCCAGUCUGUUGAGGCUGGAGAGCCAGCCAUUUCAGAGUCUCCUUUGAAUCUCAUGAAUUAAAAACGACUGCAUUAAAGCCCCAAAGUGCCCACUAACAGACUUGACAUUAACUCUGCCAGCUUUUGGCAGACACCAGACUACCCACAUGCAUUAAGCCCAACAUGGAGGAUGGGGGAGAGCCAGGGCUUUGCCUCUCAGAUGACUGAGGAGGCAUAUGGGGGAAGCCAGCUGUGGUCAGCAUUAGCAGCAUCAGUCUUGCUUGUUUGUUCAACACACAGGUAUGGGGUAUUUAUGACAUACUGCUCAGUACCAAUAGGAAAUGUCACUAAUGGCACCUUCUAGCUCUUUCUCUCCAGUACAAUACUUGUUUUAAUUAGUAGAUGUUAAAUUCUGGAAGAGCUGAUAGUUUGUCACUGUACUCUCAUGGGUGUCUGGCAGAGGGCUCUGCGUGCAGUGGGUGCUCAUUAAAUGUUUAUUAAGAGAAGAAAUACAAAAUGAAUGGGAAUUUCAAUUAUUACUAUUAUCAUUCAGUAGCUAGAAAGAGUUGCACGAUACUUGGUGGCUCUAUAGUCUUCUCCAAAAUUUUUUAAAUAUAUAAAAUUUCAGAUAACGAGUGCUUAUAUUAGUCCUAUUUAAUAACUGGGAAGGCCAAAUUUGAAUGCGGUUAUGAUUUGGCUACCGCUCAAUCUGGCAGGAUAAAUUCAGCCUUCCUUAUUUGCGCUUUGAAGCUUUAUUGUCUAGCAAGCACAGAGAUCUAAGAGGAAAGAGUGUGUUUAUAAGCAGUCACUUGGCUCAGCUGAUAUAAACCCAUUUGACGAUGACCUGAGAUCAGAAAAAUGUGUUCACUCCAGGACUACAGAAUUUUUUAGAGGGCAGAUGCAAAGCCUCAGGGCCUCUGGGGUCUACACGGACUGCUGUGGUUAUAAUGAGGAACCUGGAAAGGAAGAAAGACUGGGAAAUGGGGGUCAAAUCAACAAAUAGAAAUGAGAUGCCACUUUGGGAUGGGCUUAUGCCAGAGAUGGUCUCUCUUGCAUUUAUCUCUCUCAGUACACAGCUCCAGAUAGCACCAGACAAGAACACGUAUCUCAAAUGUUUGCCAACACCUUCAAGCUCAUGGCAACUGAGAGGGAAUAUUUCAGGGAGGAUGUGAUUACACCAUGCUCACUUUUGCUCUCCUAGCUCAGAGUCAUGCCACCCACAUUACUAUUUCCCAGCAGGCUAAGAACACCCACAUUCAGCUUUUCCUUUCAAGCCAGUGAGAUGGAAUAAAUGAAUUCUUUUGUGUCUACACAGGACUCCCAUCCUUAGAUGCCCUCAUUAAAGAACCAGCGUUUUUGGAGUCAUUGCAUUUACUGUUCAUUAUGCACUGAAAGACUUCCCCAAAACCUCCUGGAGAAGGCCUUUUGCUCCACGGUCUUGAGCCCUGGUGCAGUCAUCACAUGCGGAUGAAGGGCCUGUGAAUGAGAUGCAUAACGAGGACGAGAGAGAACUAACUUAUCGUCUCAGAGAGAAGCCAGGUUUUUGUAUCACCAACUGGCCGGGCUGGCGAUAUGAACUGGGUUCAAAGGAGCUGGCUGUAUCAAUAACUAAGGAAAUGGCACGAAGAAACCACACAGCACACGAACAUAAGUUUCUAAGGUGGGAUGGCUGGGCUCGGUGACCCCAAGGGUCAGCUCCAGCACUGGAAGGAGCAAGAGAACGAGCGAGCACUCGCAGUCUCUUUAUUUUUUUAUAGGGGGGACACACAAAAGGAGGUUCGAUGGAAUGUUCUACCUAAAUUAGGCAGGGGAAUCAGGUUUCAGGGGGUUGCCCAUCCCUAUUAGGUAACUCUCAGGUAGGGCUUGAAGCAGGCUCCCUUGCCCAGCGAGGGUAAAGGCUAGUUGCCUUGCACCACUUUUGCGUGCAUGCCAGUCUGAUAUCCCCACCGCUCAAGGAAGGAGGGUGGUGGGGGGAACAAGCUCAGCCCAGGGGUGAGGGGCGGCUCCCCACAUAUUCGCACAUUGGCUUAAGGUUAACUUGGAACUUUUGAAAGUCUUUGUUGAAGUAGUAAGAAUUUAUGAAGAUGAUUAUAAUAGUAGCAACCAUUAUGAAUAACACUUUAUUUUUUCAAAAUCCUGAGAUAUUAUAGUAUUCCUCUCCUUUAAUCCCAGGAAGAAUCAGUUCUCUCCUCUAGGUUCUUAUCAAGAGUUUAUUUCGAGCUGGAAUGAAGGAGUCAAAGCAUUGAAUUUAAACAAAAAGUUCUGAGUUUGAAUCCUGGUCUAUUACUUGCUAGUGGAGCAGGGACUAAAAUAUUUACACAAAAUAUUUUAUCUAUGACCUUUGAUUUACUUAUCUGCAAAAUAAGUAUAAUCAUUACAUUUACCUCACAGAUUCAUUAUAAGAAUUAUACGAGAUCUCAAGCAGGAAGUUAGGCUCUCAAGCAACACUUGAUAAGAAGAUGAAUUACACCAUAUCACACUGAAUCGGUCACAUGCCUCAACUGGAAUGCCAGCUUCAUGCCAGUGAUACAACAGGUCUAACUCAUCUUUGUAUCCCUGACCCCCACCCAGCAAGUGCCCAGCUCUUCAUGAGUGCUAAAUAAAUGUUGUUGAACUAAUGAAUGCAUGAGCACUGUAAUUCAUGGCACUAUCAGAGCACCUAGGCAACAUAGCUUAGAGCUCUACUGAGCUGGAGAGGGCUCAUCUGCCAGGUGUUGGAGUAGCCAGUAAAGAUAAUAUGCAAUAGUAUGAGUGAGAGGUUACACUGGAGAAAGCACUGAAGCUCCUGAUUCCAUGCCCCCUCUACCAUGGAAAGGCACAGAGUGAGGGUCAACUUCAUAGUACAGAUACAAUGCUCAGUGAGGAUUGUCCACUGCUGAAGGACCCCAAGCAAAAUGCUCCUUCAGUUUUAUGGAUCUGGGAACAAGGGAUCAAGGGUGGGGACAGGGAGUAUGGAAGAAGGACUGGGAGCAGAAAAGUACUGCACCCUAAGUCAGAGUGGACAUAAAAUUUCCCCUCUGUUCCCAUAUAAGGAGAUCUUGGCAGAGUUGCCGGAAAAAGACCUUUGCUGAAUAUUCCCCUUUAAAUGGAGUUGCUUAGACUAGGAAUACAGAUAUGUGUAAGAGCAAGGCCAAGUCCUCCAUUGCAGCUCCCUUCAGAGAUUGCAAUGCACUGGCUGCUCACCAAGUCUAGGGUCGGGGAGGACAGCUCUACCCAGUGAAGCUUUUGUAAUUGCAUAUGGCAGGGUACAGGGAUUGUGGGAUGCAGAGGGAUCACACAUCAGUGUUUGGCCAGUAACCAGACUCCUCAUCCAGUAUGUUGCAUCUGAUAGGUAAAAUAGCCAGAGACUUUAAAUGACUUGUCUAAGUUUACUUGGUUUGGUGGCUGCAGUUCUGGAUUUUUUCAUAUUGGACCAGAGUGGAUAUGUGAAGAGCUGUCACCUCUGAUGACUAACGGGAAGUUUCUCUUCUGCCUCAGAAAGUGGUCCAACCCUGAACAGACUUUAAAAUGAACCAUCAACUUCCAAAGCCUGUUCUAUUGGGAGAAUUUUGAGCCUGUCACUUUUGCCCCUGAUGUUCAAUCUGUGACUAUACUAUAAUACUUACAAAAGGGACUUUGCCGAAAUGAUUAAGGUGAUGAGCCAAUUGACAUUAAAAUGAAAAGAUAUUCUGGAUUAACUGGAUGGGCCCAGUGUAAUCCCAAGAGCUCUUAACAUAGAGGAAAGCAGAAGUCAUUCCACGAGACGUGGCAGAGGGUAAGUGAGAGCGGUUUAGAGAAUGAGACAGAUUUGAUGCACUGUUGUUGGCUUUGAAAAUGGACAGGACCAUGAACCAAUGAAAUGGUGGCCUCUAGAAGCUGGAAAUGACCCUUGGUCAACAGACAGCAUAGACAUAGGGACAUCAUUCCUACAACUACACGAGAAGGAACUAAAUUCUGCUAACGACUUGAGUGAAAUUGAAAGUAAACUCUCCCCCAGAAUCCAGGCUGGCCGACCCUUUGAUUUUAGCUUCUUGAGACCCUAAGCAGAAUACCCAAGUAAACCCACCUGGACAUAUGACCUACAGAAGCUGUAAGGUAAUAAGUGGGUGUUGUUUCAGGUCACUGAAUUUGUGGUCAUUUGUUACAGCAGCAAUAAAAAACAAACACAGAGGUUCAAAAGCACAGCACAAAGAUUCAUCCUGUCAAUUUCCCUUACCUCCCCUCAUGACUAAUCUAAAACUGGCCACCACUCCAUCAGCCAACUGGUCCUUUUCUUAGUCUACUGGUACCAAUGGAAAACGCCAUUGCUAAACCCAGUCCAAACAUUUCUAACUGCAGCUCAAAGUUCAUUUUGAGCUUCUGGGUUAGAAAGGCAUUGGGCCUGUUUCUGUGAUGUCAGGAUUUUUAGUGAUGGUAUCUUUAUCCUUCAUAUCUGUGAGAUAUCCCAUGGAAAACCUUCAGAUCAAAGUACUAGGACUACCUGGUAAAAUACAGGAUCCCCAGAUAAAUUUGAAUUUAAACUUCAAAAGACAAAUGAUGUUUUAGUAUUCCCCAAAUACUACAUGGGACAUACUUACACUAAAAAUGUUAUUAUUUUUAAAGUCUGGAAACCCUGCAAGGAACAGACAUUAAAAAAAAUAGAGUUUUCUAGAGUAUGUAAAGCUUACCAGGAAAGUAGUAAGUGGUGACCUAAAUUUGACUUAGCCUCCUCUUUCUGGGACAAGUGCCCUUUUGUUUCUGCCACAACCAAAUCUGAUAUCAGGAAAGGAUCUUCUGUCAGCUACUUAUACUUCAGUAGGAAUUUCUACUAGCAGGGUUAUGUGUGUCAUUAAAUCCAUAUUCCAAUGUGGAAUGAAAGAAUUUGCAUACUAUUAAAAUAAGGCUGGGUAUCACUGAGCAGGUGGGUGUUAAAGCCUUUAUUCUGACUCCUCUCCCAAGGCAGGACAUUAUAGAGUAGAAUAUCCCUGAAGAUCCUCGAAAGCCCCAAGUAUUAAGGCUUGGCCUGUGGUGCUAUUGAGAGAUGGAACAUUUAGAACAUGGGGCCUAGGAGAAGGAAGUCAGUUCACUGGAGUUGUGUUCUCGAAGGGGAUAUUGGGGCCCCAGCCCCUUCUUGUCUCUCUUUUUGCUUCCUGACCCCCUGAGGUAAAUAGGUUUCCUCUGCCAUAAACCCUAACCCUCAGGUACUGUGCUGCCACAAGUCCAGAGCAAUGGGGCCAAAUGACUAUGAAUUGAAAUCUCUAAAAACAGUGAGCCAAAAUAAAC